UUGUGAUCCUCGCUGGGGACAGGGGGCAGCUGCCAGAAAUUCUCUGUCAGCAAAACAUGGCAAGACCCUUCCUCGAGGUCAGAGGCAGCUGGCUGUAGAGAGAGCCAAGCCUUACCAUCUGCCUUCAUCCGGACCAAGAGGAGCCGCAAGACCAAAGCCAUUCUCAACAGUAACAGGACAAGCUAAUGCAGGAGAUGUGCCUCCAAGAGCACCUUUCAGCAGUCGUGUACUGGCCAAAGUUAGAGAGUUAUGGGUUUCCAUCGCAGGAAUGCUGUUCUCACCAAAGCAGUCAAGAGAAUGAGUGCCUUUGGAUGCUUGG